AUGUUUGCCGCAAAUGUUACAGUGCUAAGAAGUGUAGCAGCUGAUCGUUCAGCUACAAGGAACUCAAGAGGUGAUGCUGGAGGUGCCUUGAAAAUCCUACUGACAUUUGAUUUUGUGUUCAUUCUACACUUAAUGGAAAGAAUCAUGAAAAUCACGGAUGUCUUGUGUCUCAAACUUCAACAUAAAUCUUUGGAUAUUGCAAAUGCAUUAGAUUGUGUUUCUAACACAAAGGUGUUGCUUGGUGAACUACGAGAAGAUGGAUGGGACAACCUUUUUGAAGAUGUGAAAUCCUUUUGUGUGAAACAUGAGAUUGACAUCCCGGACAUGGAUCAAAAGUAUGUUGAUGUGAUGAAAUCUCAAAAUAAACAUGACAACACCACAGUUAUCCAUCAUUACAAAGUAGAUGUGUUUAAUGUUGCAAUAGAUCAACAAGUGGUAGAGUUGAAUGAUCGAUUCAGUUCUCAAGUUACUGAGCUUCUAGAUCUUUGCUCAUCAUUGGACCCGAGGCAUGAUGCCUUCAGCAAGUCAAAUAUAUGCAGACUAGUGGAGAAAUUCUAUCCUGCAGAUUUUUCUAGUCAAGAAAGAGAUCGGUUGGAGUGCGAGCUACCACAUUUCCAGCUUGAUACAUUCAACCAUCCAGAGAUCAAGAACUGCAAAUCACUUGCUGAUCUAACAAAAGGGAUAGUUAAGACUGGCAAGUCUUCUGACUAUCCAAUGGUUGAGAGGUUGUUACGAUUGGUGAUAACUCUUCCGAUGUCAACUGCAACAGCAGAGCGAGCCUUUUCUGCAAUGAAACUAGUCAAGACGCGGCUUCAAAGCAAAAUGGGAGAUGAUUUUCUUUGUCAUUGCAUGCUAGUUUACAUUGAGAAGGAACUUGCAGCCAAGUUUAGCUUUGAAAAAAUAAUUGAUAUCUUCGAUACUGGUGCUCGUAAAGCAGAAUUCAAAUUGAUAGAAAUGUAA
rnacentral:rRNA from 1 species